UACGUAGGCAGCAAGCGUUGUUCGGAGUUACUGGGCGUAAAGGGGGUGUAGGCGGUCGUUUAAGUUUGGUGUGAAAUCUCCCGGCUCAACUGGGAGGGUGCGCCGAAUACUGAAUGACUUCGAGUGCGGGAGAGGAUAGUGGAAUUCCUGGUGUAGCGGUGAAAUGCGUAGAUAUCAGGAGGAACACCGGUGGUGUAGACGGCUAUCUGGAUCGUAACUGACGCUGAGACACGAAAGCGUGGGUAGCAAACAGG
rnacentral:rRNA from 1 species